rnacentral:lncRNA from 1 species
UCGCUGUCUUACAAAAAGAAGUUUAGCUCCCGCAAUCCACCGCUGAUGAGUGAUGAGACCUGAGCAAAAGCCCAGAUUUGAAAAUGCCUGGAUUUGGGGAGUGAGGCAGAACUGUGUGCAGCAAGAGCCAGAAUCAGCCCUGGAUCACAGCAAGCCACAGCCACACGCCAGAUCCAUCAUGUAAAGGUGCUGCUGUCAUGAGGUCCCGUGCACUUUGUCAUCC